rnacentral:pre_miRNA from 1 species
GUGCGGAGGUGUUUAGGUGAAACUCUGCUGCGAGGAAUGCCCCCUGGCCCGAAGGCAUGUACUUCUCCCUCUUCGAAUGGUGUGAGCAUCAAGCUUCGGACCAGGCUUCAUUCCCCUCAGCGCAGUUACAUUUCGAUAUUCACGUC